rnacentral:rRNA from 1 species
UGACGAAGGGGGCUAGCGUUGCUCGGAAUGACUGGGCGUAAAGGGCGCGUAGGCGGAUGGCACAGUCAGAUGUGAAAUUCCCGGCUUAACCGUGGGGCUGCAUUUGAUACGUGUUGUCUAGAGUGAGGAAGAGGGUUGUGGAAUUCCCAGUGUAGAGGUGAAAUUCGUAGAUAUUGGGAAGAACACCGGUGGCGAAGGCGGCAACCUGGUCCUUGACUGACGCUGAGGCGCGAAAGCGUGGGGAGCAAACAGG